rnacentral:lncRNA from 1 species
GAACGCUUACGCUGGGCCAAAUUCAGCCUGUGCCUCUCCACAGCCAAUCCUGCACUUGCCGGCCCCUAACUCUGUAGCUGCACACAGGGCCUGGGCACUUGAGACCUCAGACUCGCCACCGGCUCCUCAGAGCCCCUGCCCAGGUCACCUGUGUAAGGAGAACACAGUGCCAAUGCAGCACAGCAUAGUGACACCCGGCCUGCCGGGAUUUAGCCCCCACCCUACCUAGCGGUUCUGGAGCUGCCACUGUGACCCAUGCAGGGUCGAGCAUCCCAGCUUCUUGCAGAACUAUUGCUACAGGGCCAUCAGCAUGUGACACUAGGAGACUGUGCCAUGUCAUCCUUAUGUGGGUCUGGGUCACAGCCGCCCAUCUGCUGUGCUCCCUGGCUGCCUCUUUUGUGAAAAAGAAGGUGAGGAGGACCAGCGAGGAGACACGCCCACUCCAGGGGAACACCUCCUCCCACAGAGCCUUGGGAAGCUGAGAGUAGAUGUGUGCCGAUCACCACCACCUGAGGGUUCCAGGACACAGACAUCGUCAUCCCUGUUCUACAGAGGAGGAAAUGGAGCCUCCUAUGCAAAUUACAUUCUUCAUCACACCAUGGCUCUUGAAGGGCGGAGGUCUCACUGGGCUCCCUGUGUCUCAUGUCCUGCACAAGGCCUGGCUCUGAGGAGGGGCUGCACAACCUUCCUGCACAAGAAUAAAGGCGGGACCGAAGCAGUGACUGUGUGAGAGUCCAUGGAAUGCCCAGGACCAGCACUCAGGGCCUUUGUCUUCUUGUCCAAGCACCAGGGAGCAGAUAGGAGCAGCUUCGGCAAGACCCGGCUCAGUUGAAUGAAGUCGAGUGUCUUAGGUCAUGAACAGUACAGAAAGAGCUGUCCCUCUUCAGAUUCGAGCGCUGCGGGGAGGGAGGGUGUGGUGAGGGUCAUCACCUCCUGCUCCACUCCCCUGGCCAGAGCGGACUGGGCAGGGCAGCCCUGCGGAGGGGCCACUGGACAGCAGAGGUCGAGAGCAGCCUCCCUGGGGUUUGUCUGUUCCACUCUCCGGUUUUGUCAAAGAUCAUUUGAAAACUGGUCACAACAAUAUUUCCUGCUUCUUCUCAGCAGCAGUCAAGCACCCUAUCCAUGAUGUUAUAUAUAAUAAAUGGCUUUUGAUUUACUGGCAGGAAAAACAAUAUCACUACCGAUGAAAUCUUAUGCUGUGUUCUUACCAGUUAACAAGGGCAGGGUUGCUUGAUGAAGAAUCAAGUGGUUACAUGUGUUCAUUCACCAAAAGUUUAUUGAAAAACUGCUUGGGUUAUGAUCGGCCCAGGGCUAAGCACACUGAGGUGGCUGGGACACCGUCUUUGAUCUCUGGGAGCUCACAGUCUAGUUCCACUCUUUACUCUGGCCACUGGGUAGUUUAUGGCUGCAAUCUGUAACCCUUAUAAUUGAAAUAUUUGCCCC